rnacentral:rRNA from 1 species
AAACCGUUCAGGGGUAAACCUGUGAAACCCAAAAGAUCGAAUGAGGAGAUUCAUCGUCAGCGUAUUCAGUAUUAAUGCAGACUAUGAUGUGAUAAUAGAAUCCUCGUGGUUACUAGAUUAUACUUGCUUGUAUUAUUUUUGCUGGAUAUGUCGGCGUGCACUUCUCCUCUAGUAGAACGUCGCAACCCGUUGGAUGUUUAUCUAUGGCCUGAUUGGUAGCCUUUGAUAUAUUUAUUAUAUUGAAAACCUUUUGGUGUCCUGAUAAACUGUCUGACGGUAUACAUAUAUAGUAUUGAGCCGCAAUUAUUUGCGUUAGACUUGCUGCAAGU